rnacentral:lncRNA from 1 species
UGGUGGCUUGGUGGUAAAAGAAUCUGCUUGUAAUGCAGGAGAUGUGGGCAAUGCAGGAGAUGUGGGUUUAAUCCCUGAGCCAGGAGAAGGAAAUGGCAACCCACUCCAGUAUUCUUGCCUGGAAAAUCCCAUGGACAGAGGAGCCUGGCGGGCUACAGUCCAUGGGAUGGCAAACAGCUGGACACAACUUAGUGACUAAAUACCACCAACCAACCCAGGUCUCCAGCAGAAGCAAUGGAGAGGAUAGAAGGGAGAGUUUCUGUUGAUGAGUGAGCUUGGAAGCUGACUGCUCGUAGCACCAGUGAGGCAGCCAUGAGCCCUUUGAAUUCAUUGUUCUCAUCCUUACUGAGGGACCUGGUGAGUCACUCUUGGAUCUGAACUCCACUUACUGUGUGCAGCUCUCCUAUCUAAAUAGCUUUAU